rnacentral:tRNA from 1 species
GCUCCUAUAGCUCAGCUGGUAGAGCAGCUGAUUCGUAAUCAGCAGGUCACAGGUUCAAACCCUGCUAGGAGCACCA